rnacentral:rRNA from 1 species
GAUGAACGCUAGCGGCAGGCUUAAUACAUGCAAGUCGAGGGGCAGCAGGACUGUAGCAAUACCGUUGCUGGCGACCGGCAAACGGGUGCGGAACACGUACGCAACUUACCCUUGUCUGGGGCAUAGCCCACCGAAAGGUGGAUUAACUCCCCAUAAGAUAGUCGAGUGGCAUCACUUCGCUAUUAAAACUCUGGUGGACCGGGAUGGGCGUGGGACUGAUUAGGUAAUUGGCGGGGUAACGGCCCACCAAGCCGGCGAUCAGUAGCUGAUGUGAGAGCAUGAUCAGCCACACGGGCACUGAGAGACGGGCCCGACUCCUACGGGAGGCAGCAGUAAGGAAUAUUGGUCAAUGGACGCAAGUCUGAACCAGCCAUGCCGCGUGGAGGAUGAAGGCCCUCUGGGUUGUAAACUUCUUUUCUUUGGGACGAAACCCCUGUUUCUACGGGGACUGACGGUACCAGAGGAAGAAGCACCGGCUAACUCCGUGCCAGCCGCCGCAGUAA